UAAAGAAAUUCUGAUGUGUGCAAAUCUUGAAGGCUAAAGGUUAGCUACGGCAAGGUGAAGAAAGCAAUGGAUGGACAUAUGGCAAUGGAUGGCUUUUCUUGGUCUCUGUCUUUUGUCUCUUGCGUUACAGUAGUACUAAAUUUGUUCAGAGUUAGCUCAGAAAAAGUUAAACUGCAUUUGAAUAAAAUUAAAUUUUAUCUUUUGUACUGCAUAUGUACUAGGGAAGUGAACAAAUAAACUACUGACCCACUAUAUACAUUCAUGUAGGUUUUUUGGUUCAUGCAUACUAAGGUUAAUAACACCUAAUAUUCUGCAGGGGAACAUGAGCGUACACUGAUAAAACAAAAAUGCAAUGUUAAUACAAGAAAAUAUUAACAGUGAUGUUGCAAAAAUGCUUCAGCAUUUGUAGGCAUACACAAAAAUGAAAAUUAUGAAAGUGUUAGAAAUAAUAUUAAUAUUGUACUGUAUAGCUGACAAACUUGUAUAUAGGCUAUUUAGCUGUUUAUGGCUAUAAUUCACAUGAUAUAUGGAAAUUUACAUUGUGACUUAUGUAUUAGGCUUACAUGGUUAAAUUAUUUUCUGAAUUCAUUGCUUAUUAUUUGCCUUUUUUGUUUGGGAAGAAUAAAUAUCAUCAGAUUAGCACAGAUUAAAGUUGAAUAAACAUAGAAUUUCCUCUUACAUAAUGUUAAUAUGGAGUGUGUAAUGAUGUAAUCUGACUAUGACCCAUACAGCAUGUCUCUGAAAAGGUUGAAAACAUAUUUGACAUUGAACAUUGUGCUCAUUACAUCAACCAUGCCCACAGUUUACAAUCUUCCAUUAAUAACUCCCAAUAUUCUGUAAGGGAACAUGAACGUAUGCUGAUAAUAAAACAGAAAUGCAAUGAGCUGUUAGUUGGGGUGGGUGCCAAGGAGAGAGAGAUGAACUCUGCGGAUAGAGGGAGUCUACAGAAAUUUUGCAACGGACCUGUUAAGACAAAUAAUCAUAGAGUCCACUUCUAAGUCUUAGGCACCCUUUUUCAAAUCUUAUUUGAUUUACAAACUUUUUCCCCAAAAAACUUACAUUUUACAGAAAAAAACGUGUGCAUGCCAGUAAAGAAAGUAACAUAUUACAUAUCACUUUUCAGACAAAAACACAAUAAAGGCUGUCAGGGAUUACCUGAAAAAACAGAAGGAAGUGUGACAAUCAAAAAGCACUUUUAAAAGGGCCAAAUAUCAUACCAAAUAUUGACUUUGUUUAGUUUAUUGCUGUUUACUGCUGUUUAUAGUUGAAUCUUUAUGUUGAAAUUUUUUAUCUCAUUAUUUUUGAAAGCAUUUUUGCUCUACAGUAUUUCUUUACAUGUGCCUUUUUGCACAGUAAUACACACACACACACACACACACACACACACACAGAAGGCCUGCUUUAUGUUGGCCUGGAGUAUCAAGCACUUAAAAGUAUAUAAUAUCUAUCUCUCACAAAUGUGCUUGCAUUGGAAUAAUCUAUUUCUGUAUUCAUGUAAGAACUAUACAGUUUUAAACAGAGCUGCUUGAUAUAACUCAAAUAGAACAUUGUAUGUGUUGAUUCUUUUUAUAAACAUACAUAACUGAAAAACAUAACCAUGGACUCAUUUAAAUGGGAUAAACAGUGUUCAUAUACAUUUGUGCAUUGAAUGUGUCAACAUGAAUCACAACUGUAAAUAAAUUUGUGACACUCAAGGCCAGUCACUGAAUAAACACUAAUGUGUCUGCUGAACAUAUUACUGAACCUGUCAUCAUCUGACAGGUGUCAAAUGUGAUUUACACUUUUUUCAGCAUGUUCUCAGCAUAUUUGUUUUAGCACAUAUCCAGGAUUAUCAUAAAAUCAUACAUGGUCAAUUCAGGAAGGGUUCCUGGUUCCUGGUCCUGGCAUGUGUAUUUGAAGAGGUGCUUGGCAAAGCAAGCACGGCAAGAGCAGGCUGUUUUAGGCUGGUUAUCGCUAUAGACAUUGGCUUUCCUUAGAUUUAUUUGCUUAGCUAGGUCAUUUAUACUGAAGUAGAUAGACUUUGAGCUUAACAUUAUGUUCACAUUAGGCCUUUUUUUUUUUGGAAAGCAGGAAGAUUGAUUCUGAUACAUUUGCAUGCUUUGUAUAUCACUAUUCAUAGUUAUUUGAUCUUAGUAGACACGGUACCCCUGUGUUUAUAGGAAGAUUUUCGGAAGGUACACUACCCUUAGCCAGAUGAUAAAAUAACAAUGUCUCAUAGCUAUGCUAGUGAAAAUCAUGGGAAGCGUAGUUGUAAUGGCACUAACUGCACAAAAGCAACUUUUUAACAUUUCAACAUUAAACAUUAGGACAUGGAGGAGCUAUACAUUAAACAUUAGAACAUGGAGGAGCUAUACAUAUUUCAUCCCGUCCUCUAUUCAAAUAGUGCAAACUCCAGGUUUAUUGGCACCCUUAAUAAAAUUCAUUCUCAGGUCUUUGCAUUAAUAAUAUAGGUUUAAUAUUGCAUGACUAGAGGAAAAUGUUCCCUGUUAUAUAACUGCAAGUAGUUAGUUGUUAGUGGUUAGAGAACAGAUGAAGGGGAGCUAAACAUUCCAUUUAGACCAUAAAUACUCUAUAAAUACUCUAAAUACUCUAUAAAAGACAAUAAAUGCUAGCACAGACGCUAAAACAGUGAUGAUUAACAUCCAUUACAUUACACUAAGCACUGCGCUAAACAAAAUCACACAGUCAUUAUGGCUGUCUUUAAAAUCAUGUGUAAAUGUAGAAUAUCCUGAAUCAGUGUAAAAUCCUGUGUAAUAGAACAUAGCAACAUGAAAGUUAAUGAAAACCUGCCUUUAUGUCAUUUGUCUUUUUACUAUAAAGGCCUGUUUUCAUUAGCUUUCAUUUUUUAGAUACAAUAAACUUUAUAGGACAAAACAAUUGGCGCAUCUAUAGCACUUUAUGGCUAUAUCAUCACAUUUGGACAGCAGUGUUUGUCAUGGCCUUGUAUUUCCACCACCCUGCACAUUUUGGUGUUUUUUUUCCUCCUCUAUAUCACCCAGGUCAGUCUGUUUUAGGCAUGUUAAAAAGCUGAUAAGUAGAAUCAGGUGAGGUAGGAGCAGAGAAAACAUCAAAAAGUGAAGGGCAGUGAUACUCCAGGACCAGGAUUUAGAGAUUAUCACUAUUUCUAUCAUUAUGUGGUGAACAGUGAAAGGUUUUAGUUUUGUGAUUUCGGUCUAUAGAAGCUAAUGAAACAUUCUUACUUUAACACUCUUCUAGUGCCUUUCCAUUAACUACUUACACAACUAGCAUCCUUUCAGAUAGAUCCCGCUAGACUUUGGAUGUCUAUAAUUUAAGACCCUCAUUCUGGCACUCACUGGGCAGUAAAGUGUUAGAGUGGAGAACCUUGCUGAUGUGCUGGCAUUUGCAAAAGGAUUUAUUAGCCUUGUGCAUACAGAGGAAACCCUGGACUAUUAGACAGAGCAGCAGAGCACUAAGAGUGGAGAAGAUCAUCUCACUAAGGUGGGUAUCAGGAAGAGAUCCAAAGUACCUGGAGUGAUGAUCACUCAGUUUGUAGAAGAAGGAAAAGCUCAUCCUGACUUUACCCACAAACCCAUCGCUUUGACCAUUCAAGAAGGGGAUCCAGAACCUACUGUCACAUGGGCAAGAAAUAAUGGAGAUGUAUCUGACAGACUGAAAUAUUAGACUAAGUUCAAUCCCAUUUCUCGAGAACACACAAUUGAGAUGCCCAAUGUUUCUCCAGAACAAGAUGACACUUACAAGUGUUUUGCAACAAAUGAGGUUGGAAGAGCCUCUGUCACUGUUGUAUUAUAUGUUAUUGAAGGUAUGAAAACUGAUAA